GUAACGCUCUUAACCCAUUGACAUUCCAAGACAGAAGCUUCACAGAUUUUGUACCCUCUACCAGAGGUGGAGGCCUCAUAGUUCUAGGGUUAUAAGCAAUCCAUCCCUUUUGAGGCUUCUUAUGCGCAAGCAUUGUCCAAGGUUCACUUUGGACUGUUAGUGAACUGCACUAUCAUCAGUAGCCAUUUCACUAUUAAUAUACAUACCUAAUAUUAUUUACUUUUUAUCAAAAGGACCCUUCCUAGAAACAAUAACCAGGUGUCUAUGCUCCGGAUAAAACCGAAUGAACUAAGAUUAACGACCUAAAGAACAUGUAAGUUAGAGAAAGAGUGCAUUUUAAAUUAACAAAGGAUGCCAAAUGAUUAUUAAUGAAGCAAAAGUUCAAAAUAAUAAAGCUGUGAAAACUGUAUACGUAUAAUCUACUGUACCUGAAAUCUUAUCAGUUUUGACUGAGGCUUUAGCAUCAACUUCACCAGUUUCAUCGCCAAUUGGUGAUUUUGUAGCUUUUCUCUUACUUUCUUGGAGUGCAGAAACUUCUGGAACAGAUUAAAUUUCUUGAGCAUGUUCCUCAUGAGAAAACUUCUUAGCCUUCCUCUCCCCUGAUAUACUUUUCGUAUUAGCCUUCCUUUUUACUGAUACACUUUCAGUAGAAAUGGAGGAUACCUCUUCUAUUUCCACAUGAGAACUACCACUUGCACAUCGAAGAAACUUCCAACCUUUAAAAAUAAGCAACAUAGCAUUGAACCAAAACUGAUUGAGAGAACAAGGACGAGGCGGAACAAAGGUAAAACAAACAAUUGAGAGUAACGAAAAUUCUUCUGCUCCAAUCUUAAUGGAAAUGACACGACGCUAUGCAAAAUACUGGAGAAUAUUGAAAUUUGAUUCUUUGGUAAAAAGAGUUUACCUUCCAUCUUCUUCUCCACAUAAACCUUCAAGGCAGAUACUGGAUCACGUUUAGAACCUUUAGCAGGGACCCCAAUACUCCUGAUGAUUAAGAAUGAAAUAAGCAUACUAACAAACACUACAAAUAGAGGUGCAACAUAGUAUUCUGUCCAUCAACCAUCCACUCAAUUGAUUUCAUUCUCCAAAUCAAUUUGAAGAACCGUCAUUGACCAUUCAAGACGAGGCACAAGAAAUGAAAGUAAUACAGAGAAGCCGACACCUAAACCAUUUCAAGUUAGUUACAUAUAUACUAGUUUGUCAUGAAGCUUCCAGAACAAAAGCACCCCCCCUCCAUAUCUCAGGCAACCCAAAUGAAACCUAAUAAUCUGAAUGCACAUCAGACGUAAAUCGUGUGGGUUUUUCUGAAAGUUAUAUAUGCAUGAUACAAAAUUUCACGUCUUUCUGAAUGUUGAGCCUUUAAAACUUUGGCUUACCUCAAUAUAGUUCUGAGUUCUUGAACUGUCAUGACCUCAAUUCUCUCGGGAUUAUCCUUUACACUCUGAAUUCCAGCUUCAUCGCUUUCUACACCAAUAUCCUACACAUCAAUUUACGGUUAAAAUUUUCCUUAAUUACUCCAAUUGUCUCACUAUCUUCUUGUACACUAACUAAUAUUGACAGUGACUCGAUACACAAACCCACAAGACAAUGAGGCAAGUUAAAACAAUCAGCAACAAAAAUCAAAACCAUGGCACACCUUUGGGGUCGAACCCACUAAUCUGUUCACCUUUUCAUCUUCCAUGUUAUCGAAAGACGAUGCCGGUUUGGAUGAACUUGCAAGAUGCCGUUUAGGCUUCAUAGCUCUGAAGGAGACAAAGGUUCCAAUUCUAAAAUUUCUUGGAGUAACUGCAAAGCUAAAGAAGAAAAGAGAUAUAUUAAAACAGACAAAAAUAAUUUCUUUAAUAUAAAAGAAAUGAUUUUAGACAGAAGCUUCACAGAUUUUGUACCCUCUGCCAGAGGUGGAGGCCUCAUAGUUCUAGGGUUAUAAGCAGUCCAUCCCUUUUGAGGCUUCUUAUGCGCAAGCAUUGUCCAAGGUUCACUUUGGACUGUUGGCAGAGUAACUGCACUAUCAUCAGUAGCCAUUUCACUAUUAAUAUACAUACCUAAUAUUAUUUACUUUUUAUCAAAAGGACCCUUCCUAGAAACAAUAACCAGGUGUCUAUGCUCCGGAUAAAACCG
rnacentral:lncRNA from 1 species